rnacentral:rRNA from 1 species
UACGUAGGGGCCAAGCGUUGUCCGGAUUUAUUGGGCGUAAAGAGCUCGUAGGCGGUUGGGUAAGUCGGGUGUGAAAACUCCAGGCUCAACUUGGAGAUGCCACCCGAUACUGCUCUGACUUGAGUUCGGUAGGGGAGUGGGGAAUUCCUGGUGUAGCGGUGAAAUGCGCAGAUAUCAGGAGGAACACCGGUGGCGAAGGCAGCACUCUGGGACGUGACUGACGCUGAGACGCGAAAGCGUGGGGAGCAAACAGG